rnacentral:rRNA from 1 species
CACGGGGGGGAGCAAGCGUUGUUCGGAAUCACUGGGCGUAAAGGGAGUCUAGGCGGUCAGGUAAGUGGGAUGUGGAAUCCCUCGGCUCACCCGAGGACCUGCAUCUCAUACUGCCCGGCUUGAGUAUGGGAGAGGAUGAGGGAAUUCCUGGUGUAGCGGUGAAAUGCGUAGAUAUCAGGAGGAACACCGGUGGCGAAGGCGCUCAUCUGGCCCAAUACUGACGCUGAAGCUCGAAAGCUAGGGGAGCAAACAGG